AGAUCAGAGGCCACACAUCUCACCUGGAUCCCAAAAGAAUAAAAAAAGUGUUAAAAAUAGAAAGCAUAAGUGAGUUAUCUUUAACAUUUUCACAUAAAAGUAGCUCUGCUCGUUCAUGAAUUGAGCCCACAAUUGACUUGCCUAUCCAAAAAUUAAAACAUAAAUACUGGUCCCAAAGAAAAUAACUAGCAGAAAAUGUGCACAUGCAUUUUAAAACAAAUAGUUAUGUCUGCAAUGGAACUAGAUUUCCAGGGAUUAGAGCCUUCAAAGUACAACAAAAUGGCUUGUGAUAAAGUCAUUUUAAAACAAAUAUUCUUGUACAAGAAAACACUUCAUGACUCUGGUCAGGUUGCACUGGAGCUUAAUUUUAGUUGAUGUGAUUUUGGCUCUCAAAAUUUUCUACCCUCCUAUAUCUCAAAGAAAAGGAAAUAAUAUAAACUCUUUGAAAGUCAACAGAAAACACAGAAAAUUCAUGUAUAAUUGUCCAAAGUGAAAUGAAGAAAAUGGCACCAUAUAGAGAAAAACAAGUAAACU
rnacentral:misc_RNA from 1 species